CAUUAGUGACACUGCCUGCUUUCCUGGAGAGCAGAGCUACUUUCAGCCAGGAUGGCAGUGGGAAAGCCUUCACUUCAGCAUAAUGUGCUCAUAAAACACAACAGCAGUACAAUGUGGAGAGGGAUAAAUUAAAAAUUAAUGGGCCCUGCCAGAGCUUGCAUUUCUCUGAGCCAGUAGAUGAUGGAAGAAAAGAGUGUUCUCCCUCCAUCCCAGAGCACGGGCUACAUGAAACCAAUAAACAGCCGUGGGAAUGCGUCAUUCUAGAGAAUCUCCAUUGACCCAAUCAAGAACACCACAUGACGACAGUGACCAAUCACACACCAUGAACAACAAACAAACAGCAACAAGCUAAAGACAUACUCAGACUGUACCAUUCAUGAAAAACCCAUAGGGUGCAAUAUGUUUGAGCAAAGACUUUGUGGAACAAUUUCAAAUCAUGCAUACAUUUGUAAAAAUCAAGUCUGUCAGAGGUCAGUUGUAAAGAGAAUAAAAU